rnacentral:rRNA from 1 species
AGUGAACGCUGGCGGCGUGCCUAACACAUGCAGGUCGAACGAGAACGGGUUAUAGCUUGCUAUAAUUGUCAGCUAAGUGGCGCACGGGUGAGUAAUGUAUAGGUAAUAUGCCUCUUACUAAGGGAUAACAAAUGGAAACGUUUGCUAAUACCUUAUACUCCUUAUUAACAGAAGUUAAUAAGGGAAAGAUUUAUUGGUAAGAGAUUAGCCUGUAUUGUAUCAGUUAGUUGGUGGGGUAAUGGCUUACCAAGACUAUGACACAUAACUGGUUUGAGAGGAUGAUCAGUCACACUGGAACUGAGACACGGUCCAGACUCCUACGGGAGGCAGCAGUGGGGAAUAUCGCACAAUGGACGAAAGUCUGAUGCAGCAACGCCGCGUGGAGGAUGACACAUUUCGGUGCGUAAACUCCUUUUAUAUGAGAAGAUAAUGACGGUAUUAUAUGAAUAAGCACCGGCUAACUCCGUGCCAGCAGCCGCCGUAA